rnacentral:rRNA from 1 species
GCCAGACUCCUACGGGAGGCAGCAGUGGGGAAUAUUGCACAAUGGGGGGAACCCUGAUGCAGCGACGCCGCGUGGGCGAGGAAGUAUUUCGGUAUGUAAAGCCCUCUCGGCAGGGAAGAAAAUGACGGUACCUGAAGAAGAAGCUCCGGCUAACUACGUGCCAGCAGCCGCGGUAAUACGUAGGGAGCAAGCGUUGUCCGGAAUUACUGGGCGUAAAGCGCUCGUAGGCGGUAUGUCAAGUCAAGGGUGAAAUCCCCGCGCUCAACGUGGGAACUGCCUUUGAAACUGGCAAACUGGAGUGUGUGAGAGGAUAGUGGAAUUCCAGGUGUAGGAGUGAAAUCCGUAGAUAUCGGGAGGAACAUCAGUGGCGAAGGCGACUAUCUGGCACAUAACUGACGCUGAGGAGCGAAAGCGUGGGUAGCAAACAGGAUUAGAUACCCUCGUA